CUACGGGCGCUGCAGUGGGGAAUAUUGGACAAUGGGCGAAAGCCUGAUCCAGCCAUGCCGCGUGUGUGAAGAAGGCCUUCGGGUUGUAAAGCACUUUCAGUGGGGAAGAAAGCCUUGGGGCUAAUACCCUCGAGGAAGGACAUCACCCACAGAAGAAGCACCGGCUAACUCCGUGCCAGCAGCCGCGGUAAUACGGAGGGUGCGAGCGUUAAUCGGAAUUACUGGGCGUAAAGCGCGCGUAGGCGGUCUGAUAAGCCGGUUGUGAAAGCCCCGGGCUCAACCUGGGAACGGCAUCCGGAACUGUCAGGCUAGAGUGCAGGAGAGGAAGGUAGAAUUCCCGGUGUAGCGGUGAAAUGCGUAGAGAUCGGGAGGAAUACCAGUGGCGAAGGCGGCCUUCUGGACUGACACUGACGCUGAGGUGCGAAAGCGUGGGUAGCAAACAGGAUUAGAUACCCCAGUAGUC
rnacentral:rRNA from 1 species